GAAGGACACGUCUCUUAUCGAGCACAAGAUCUGUGAACUGCUCACUGAAUUUCCUUUCAGUUAGUUCUCUAGGUAUGGGGAGUCAUCUAUCCCCUGUGUACAACUUUGAACUCACAUUUUUGUGUCACUCGGCGUCAUAGAAUCAAUACAAGGCACGGAAGUCUGUAAUAAACGACAGUUACAUGAUAUUGCGUGAUUUUUUUUUUCAGACUUUUGAAAUCACUGCGGGACGUACCCUCAAGCAAGGGCACACGGAACCCUCUUCCUCAGGUUGGGAAGGUUUUGAAAAAAAGACCCGGGACCUCUGGCAGCGGGAAUCCAGUGACAAAGGCAGUAAAGACAACAGUGUGGGCCUGAACCCCGGCUCUGACACCUACAAAGGUAAGAGUCUGACCUCUCGGUGCUUCCGUUUCUUUAUGUAUCUAACUGGAAAGGAUGUGUGCACUGUCCGUCCAGCACACAAUGUCACAGAGUACAUCCGAUUCUGGCACGGUGCCUGGCCCCCAGGAGAAGUUCUGCACAGAUCCUUCUCCCGUAUGAGCAAUAGCUCGCAGAGCUAUUCUGGGCAGCACAUCUAAUGGCCUGGUAGCCUCAUACCCACCCUGCAAACAGCAGACCCGAGGUGUCCUCCUUUUCCAGGGGACCAGAGACCUUAAGAAAUGCACCCCGUGUCACUCAGCUGGAGCCAGCUGUUGGGGUGAGGAGUCUCACCUUUUUCCUUACUGAAUGAUGGGGUCUCCCACUUGAUAGUAGCGAUCUUCCUAAGCUCGGGUUUGCUGAGAGAUGAUGCGAAGCAGAUCACAAAGGACUCACAAGAGUUUACAAUCUUGUGUAAGGCGUGGGCGUGGCACUACCCUAGGUGUUAUUUCAC
rnacentral:lncRNA from 1 species